AGAUACAAAAGAUCUUGGGCAGAAUUUUCCUUGGCUUUGAGUGGAACGGACAAAGCUCCCCAUUCUCCACUGCUUCCCAGAAACCGGAUGGACCUAAUUCUCGACAUUGUUGUGAUUAGUUUACUUCGCCUUUGCAGUUCUCAUCUCAGCCACACAAGUUGUAAGAACUUCAAACCUGUGGAAUAAUUCCAAGGACUGAGGAACCUUCACUGCUCUCUUCUGGAAUUCCAUACCUGCUUCAUUCCAAGUCAUAAGCACCUUAACUUGCCCUUGGUUGAAAUCAAUCAAAAUGCACACAAUUUUUUUCUUGAUAGAUGAUUUGGUAGCUACUGUAGCCCAGAAAGGUUGGAGGAAGAAAAUAUGAUAUUG